AUAACUGGAAUAGGCAGUUAAUGGGAGGAUUGUGGUCAGAAGCUACUGUGAGGGCUGUUGAAUUUUUCUCCAAAGCUCAGAUGCCCAGUAUUCCUAGUCUUCGAAAGAGAGAGAGGAAGAUUGAGAGAGAGAGAGAGAGAGAGAGAGAGAGAAGAAGUUUUCUUAAUCAGAGAUUUCUCUUUACUUUCAACUAAUUGCAGAUGCUGAUCUUCUGGACAAUCACACUUUUCCUGCUGGGAGCAGCCAAAGGAAAAGAAGUUUGCUAUGAGGACCUCGGGUGCUUUUCUGACACUGAGCCCUGGGGCGGGACAGCAAUCAGGCCCCUGAAAAUUCUCCCCUGGAGCCCUGAGAAGAUCGGCACCCGCUUCCUGCUGUACACCAAUGAAAACCCAAACAACUUUCAAAUUCUCCUCCUCUCUGAUCCAUCAACAAUUGAGGCAUCAAAUUUUCAAAUGGACAGAAAGACCCGGUUCAUCAUCCAUGGCUUCAUAGACAAAGGAGAUGAGAGCUGGGUGACAGACAUGUGCAAGCAGCCUGGGGCAUCGCCAAGAGCCUGAAAGGACCC
rnacentral:misc_RNA from 1 species